UGCUGGAGGUAUCAGAAGUGCGAAUGCUGACAUAAGUAACGAUAAAGCGGGUGAAAAGCCCGCUCGCCGGAAGACCAAGGGUUCCUGUCCAACGUUAAUCGGGGCAGGGUGAGUCGACCCCUAAGGCGAGGCCGAAAGGCGUAGUCGAUGGGAAACAGGUUAAUAUUCCUGUACUUGGUGUUACUGCGAAGGGGGGACGGAGAAGGCUAUGUUAGCCGGGCGACGGUUGUCCCGGUUUAAGCAUGUAGGCGGAGGUUCCAGGUAAAUCCGGUACCUUUUAACGCUGAGGUGUGAUGACGAGGCACUACGGUGCUGAAGUAACAAAUGCCCUGCUUCCAGGAAAAGCCUCUAAGCAUCAGGUAACAUCAAAUCGUACCCCAAACCGACACAGGUGGUCAGGUAGAGAAUACCAAGGCGCUUGAGAGAACUCGGGUGAAGGAACUAGGCAAAAUGGUGCCGUAACUUCGGGAGAAGGCACGCUGGUGUGUAGGUGAAGUCCCUGCGGACGGAGCUGAGACCAGUCGAAGAUACCAGCUGGCUGCAACUGUUUAUUAAAAACACAGCACUGUGCAAACACGAAAGUGGACGUAUACGGUGUGACGCCUGCCCGGUGCCGGAAGGUUAAUUGAUGGGGUUAUCCGUAAGGAGAAGCUCUUGAUCGAAGCCCCGGUAAACGGCGGCCGUAACUAUAACGGUCCUAAGGUAGCGAAAUUCCUUGUCGGGUAAGUUCCGACCUGCACGAAUGGCGUAAUGAUGGCCAGGCUGUCUCCACCCGAGACUCAGUGAAAUUGAACUCGCUGUGAAGAUGCAGUGUACCCGCGGCAAGACGGAAAGACCCCGUGAACCUUUACUAUAGCUUGACACUGAACAUUGAGCCUUGAUGUGUAGGAUAGGUGGGAGGCUUUGAAGCGUGGACGCCAGUCUGCGUGGAGCCAACCUUGAAAUACCACCCUUUAAUGUUUGAUGUUCUAACGUAGGCCCCUAACCGGGGUUGCGGACAGUGUCUGGUGGGUAGUUUGACUGGGGCGGUCUCCUCCCAAAGAGUAACGGAGGAGCACGAAGGUUAGCUAAUCCUGGUCGGACAUCAGGAGGUUAGUGCAAUGGCAUAAGCUAGCUUGACUGCGAGCGUGACGGCGCGAGCAGGUGCGAAAGCAGGUCAUAGUGAUCCGGUGGUUCUGAAUGGAAGGGCCAUCGCUCAACGGAUAAAAGGUACUCCGGGGAUAACAGGCUGAUACCGCCCAAGAGUUCAUAUCGACGGCGGUGUUUGGCACCUCGAUGUCGGCUCAUCACAUCCUGGGGCUGAAGUAGGUCCCAAGGGUAUGGCUGUUCGCCAUUUAAAGUGGUACGCGAGCUGGGUUUAGAACGUCGUGAGACAGUUCGGUCCCUAUCUGCCGUGGGCGCUGGAGAAUUGAGGGGGGCUGCUCCUAGUACGAGAGGACCGGAGUGGACGCAUCACUGGUGUUCGGGUUGUCAUGCCAAUGGCACUGCCCGGUAGCUAAAUGCGGAAGAGAUAAGUGCUGAAAGCAUCUAAGCACGAAACUUGCCCCGAGAUGAGUUCUCCCUGAGACUAUAAGUCUCCUGAAGGAACGUUGAAGACGACGACGUUGAUAGGCCGGGUGUGUAAGCGCAGCGAUGCGUUGAGCUAACCGGUACUAAUGAACCGUGAGGCUUAACCUU
rnacentral:rRNA from 1 species